rnacentral:tRNA from 1 species
GCCGCUCUAUCCCAACUGGUCAGAGGAACGCGGCUCAGACCCGCGACAGUGAGGGUUCGACUCCCUCGGGCGGUA